AUAAAACUAAAACAUUUGUUUUUCUCCUUGUCAUCUAGAACCCAAAUAGAUUGGAUUUAUUUAUUUAGGGGAGGUUGGAUGAUUUUAAUAUUGCAUGUACUACUGCAGUCAUUUCAAUUUAUCUUGGAUUGCAUGUGUAUUAGUUUUCUCCCCAAACCAAAUGUUAACCAGAACUGCAAGCAGUUAUGACGGGGUCCAAACCUCCUGACUCCAGUCGCCCCAGACAACCAGGGGAGCCCGCAGAAGCGGGACACAAAGCGUAACGGUGGGGAGGCAAAAAUCAAGAAAUAUUGAGAGGUGUGAGCCGUAAGGUCUGCGGUACGUUGCCGUUGCAAAUAUCCCAUUUACAUUGAGUAGAAGGGCUGAAACUGGUCUAAUUUGGCUACAGCGCCCCCUAAUGGCCGGUCUUUGCCAAAUUUGGUACGGAGCCUCAGAACAGCAUACCAAGCAAGCAUCACCAGUUUCAUGUCUAUAGCAUUUACAGAGAGAUAUUGCAAUUGCAAAUUUCCCAUUUAAAUGAAUUGAGUUAUCGGCCAAAACAAAUAAACUGCAUUUGACCACUGGCC